rnacentral:rRNA from 1 species
UGGGGAAUAUUGGACAAUGGGCGCAAGCCUGAUCCAGCCAUGCCGCGUGUGUGAAGAAGGCCUUUGGUUGUAAAGCACUUUAAGCGAGGAGGAGGCUACUUGGAUUAAUACUCUAGGAUAGUGGACGUUACUCGCAGAAUAAGCACCGGCUAACUCUGUGCCAGCAGCCGCGGUAAUACAGAGGGUGCGAGCGUUAAUCGGAUUUACUGGGCGUAAAGCGUGCGUAGGCGGCUUCUUAAGUCGGAUGUGAAAUCCCUGAGCUUAACUUAGGAAUUGCAUUCGAUACUGGGAAGCUAGAGUAUGGGAGAGGAUGGUAGAAUUCCAGGUGUAGCGGUGAAAUGCGUAGAGAUCUGGAGGAAUACCGAUGGCGAAGGCAGCCAUCUGGCCUAAUACUGACGCUGAGGUACGAAAGCAUGGGGAGCAAACAG